rnacentral:rRNA from 1 species
CACUGUCACUCCUACGGGGAGGCAGCAGUGGGGGAAUAUUGCACAAUGGGCGCAAGCCUGAUGCAGCCAUGCCGCGUGUGUGAAGAAGGCCUUCGGGUUGUAAAGCACUUUCAGUUGUGAGGAAGGUGGUGUCGUUAAUAGCGGCAUCAUUUGACGUUAGCAACAGAAGAAAGCACCGGCUAACUCCGUGCCAGCAGCCGCGGUAAUACGGAGGGUGCGAGCGUUAAUCGGAAUUACUGGGCGUAAAGCGCAUGCAGGUGGUUUGUUUAAGUCAGAUGUGAAAGACCCGGGGCUCAACCUCGGAACUGCAUUUGAAACUGGCAGACUAGAGUACUGUAGAGGGGGGUAGGAAUUUCAGGUGUAGCGGUGAAAUGCGUAGAGAUCUGAAGGAAUACCGGUGGCGAAGGCGGCCCCCUGGACAGAUACUGACACUCAGAUGCGAAAGCGUGGGGAGCAAACAGGAUUAGAUACCCUGGUAG